GUCGUAGCUCAGCGGCAGAGAAUUUGCAUUGGACGCAGAUGGUCCCAGGUCCAACCCCCGGCAUCUCCA